AGCAGUUGUUUAUAGAGGUUACUAGUGGGUAUAGCACUGAAUAUCCAGUUUGUAAGGAGGGAAUAUUAAUGAUGUUUUCUCGGAUAUUUAAUCUCAGAAUAAUUAGUAACAAAAGUAAAUAAUGGGACUUUUUGCGAUAAGGUGGAAAGUCAAGAGGGAAACAGCCCAGAACAGUUUUAAAGCUCCCCAAUUAAUAUUAAGUGAA
rnacentral:rRNA from 1 species